GAGAAAUGGCAUUCCCCCGGGGCAGGAUGGAGGCAGCAGAGUGGCGGCGCCUGCUUCACCUCCUCAAGGACGCGCGGGUCAGGGUGACGAGGGAGUAUGGAAGUUUUUCGAUACCAGAGGAAACCAUCACUGAGGAGGAGGAGUGGAGAGAGCUGGAGGACGUCACUAUCAAUUUGUGGGGGUGUAAGGUGUUCAGGGAAUCUGACGAGAUGUGUUUCUUGUCAGCCUCAAUUUUUGACUUAUGAGUCUGAUGAAGAAGAUGAAGAUGAGGAGGAGGAGGACUUAAAAAAUUUAACCUGCUCCACAGCCUGCUGCAUCACCACCACAGCCACCUCCACCACAGCCUGCUACACCACCAUCACAGCCACCACAACACAGUCACUCCACCACAGCCUGCCAAAAGUAGUGGAGACAAAGAGGCGCCCUUUGAGAGUGGUGCCCCCAGUGCUGUGCUGCAUCAAGUGUUGUACACCUGCAGGUGGUGUGGUUGGUGUCCUCCACACGUAGGGAAUUGUUUGUAAGGUGUGUGGCGGCGUGAAUCGCGGUGCAAGUGUUCUGGUGCAGUGAGCCACACUGGGGUGCCAGCAGGUGCGCCGUGACAGGUGUGAGGACUCGUUCACCACAACACUCAUUCACCGACGCUGUGCUGUGUGGGCCAGGGCAUAUCAGGCAGUUAGUUUGGCACAGGCGGCAUUCUGAUUGCCUUUGGUUUUGACGUGUGUUGUAAGACUCAAACACUGAUAAUAAAGCUGCUCCACCCUGUCUCUCAUUUCCCUGAGUCCAGUGGUGUGGUGAAGGGU